rnacentral:rRNA from 1 species
AGUGAACGCUGGCGGUAGGCCUAACACAUGCAAGUCGAACGGCAGCACAGGAGAGCUUGCUCUCUGGGUGGCGAGUGGCGGACGGUUGAGGAAUACAUCGGAAUCUGCCCAGUCGUGGGGGAUAACGUAGGGAAACUUACGCUAAUACCGCAUACGACCUUCGGGUGAAAGAGGGGGAUCGCAAGACCUCUCGCGAUUGGAUGAGCCGAUGUCGGAUUAGCUAGUUGGCGGGGUAAUGGCCCACCAAGGCGACGAUCCGUAGCUGGUCUGAGAGGAUGAUCAGCCACACUGGAACUGAGACACGGUCCAGACUCCUACGGGAGGCAGCAGUGGGGAAUAUUGGACAAUGGGCGCAAGCCUGAUCCAGCCAUACCGCGUGGGUGAAGAAGGCCUUCGGGUUGUAAAGCCCUUUUGUUGGGAAAGAAAUCUUUCAGGCUAAUACCCUGGGAGGAUGACGGUACCCAAAGAAUAAGCACCGGCUAACUUCGUG